AAGGAAUCUGUCUGUCUUUCCUAAAAGUGGAACAAUACAGAGAAGAUAGCAUGGCCCCCGGUUCUAAAGAUGACACGCAAAAUCUCCUGCAAUAUAAUAAAAUUUA
rnacentral:snRNA from 1 species